rnacentral:rRNA from 1 species
GAUCCUGGCUCAGGAUAAACGCUGACAGAAUGCUUAACACAUGCAAGUCAACUUGAAUUUGGGUUUUUAACUUAGAUUUGGGUGGCGGACGGGUGAGUAACGCGUAAAGAACUUGCCUCACAGUUAGGGACAACAUUUAGAAAUGAAUGCUAAUACCUGAUAUUAUGAUUUUAAGGCAUCUUAGAAUUAUGAAAGCUAUAAGCACUGUGAGAGAGCUUUGCGUCCCAUUAGCUAGUUGGAG